CACACGAAUCCAAAACGAAACCGGGUAGAUUUGAAACCACCUCCGAGGGUGGUUUCAGAAGUUUGCGGUUUCGGUCAGCGGAUUCGCCGGCUUCGUGUGGACGGAAGGCCGAACCGUACAAGACCUUUGCGGUUUCGCCAUGAAAUCGGCUUCGUGUGGACGGGGCCUAGGGGCCGUGGACUGCGGUACCACUUUCCUGAAGAGGAACUCGCUGGCUCUAAAUCCCUGAUCAAAACGUUUCUUCACACGCAAGCACUCGUCACUUGAAUUUGUUGACAUGAACGAUAACGAGAAUCUGUCAGCCUGUGAGUCCAGGGUGACUAUGGAGGUCACCACGAAUCAAUGGGAAACUCAACCCAGCAGUGCUGUGGCUGCAUGUAACUGUUUCACAUGACUCUUCCUUCUGCAUGAUCAUCUAUCUAAAGAGGGACGAGACCUCCACCUCCUCAUCAAGGCCUUCUCGAGGGACAGACAAGGUUUUUAUUUAGGUUAUUCCUUUUUGUAAGGCCACAAGGCUUUGAACACGGUAAAUGAAUCACAAUUUUAACCCAUAAUUUCUUUAGGUUGGCGAAGAAAAUAUAAGGGUGCUGUAUAAGCGCAACCUGGAGUUGGAUAAUGUUAAAAUAAAAUUGCAGAUAAAAAAACUCAAGCUGGAGAUUCAGCUCCUCGAGAGGGUAUACGGCUAUUAUCUUUAAUACUUAGAUUUUCUUUGGUUAAGCUAGACUGACCCUCUGAAAUGUUUUCUUCUACUU